GGGCUGGGGCUCAGUGGUAGAGUGCUCGCCUAGCACCCGUGAGGCCCUGGGUUCAAAACUCAGCACCACA
rnacentral:tRNA from 1 species